GCCCGAGGCGCGAGGCGACUCCGCCCACAGAGGGCGGGCCGGGCUCCAGUCAGGGUCAGUGGCACCCAAAGGUUUCUUCGGUGCUUAUCAGAAUGCCGUGAAAGCUCUUCCUCUGGGAGGUCAGCCUGUGUGCCUGGCAUUAAUCGUACACACAUCCCUCGGGUGCUCCAAUGAGCUGCAAUCUCUAAGAGCUCCUUGCUGACAUACAAGCAAAGUAAAGAAGAAAUGGUGCAAAACUUAAGUAUUUCCUCUGAUCUUACUCAGGGGCUGGAAAACAACAGAAGUGUAAUAAUUAAACUUCUGAAUAAGUA